GACAACGCUGGCGGCGUGCCUAACACAUGCAAGUCGAACGGGGUAGAGAGCUUCGGUUUUCUACUUAGUGGCGAACGGGUGAGUAACGCGUGAGAAACCUGCCUUUCAGAUGGGGACAACACCUCGAAAGGGGUGCUAAUACCGAAUGACGUUUCCUAGUCGCAUGACCUGGAAACCAAAGGCCCGGGCAACCGGUCACUGAAGGAUGGGCCUGCGUCUGAUUAGCUAGUUGGUGGGGUAACGGCUCACCAAGGCGACGAUCAGUAGCCGGUCUGAGAGGAUGAACGGCCACAUUGGGACUGAGAUACGGCCCAGACUCCUACGGGAGGCAGCAGUGGGGAAUAUUGGGCAAUGGGGGAAACCCUGACCCAGCAACGCCGCGUGAAGGAAGAAGGCCUUCGGGUUGUAAACUUCUUUUACCAGGGACGAAGAACGUGACGGUACCUGGAGAAAAAGCAACGGCUAACUACGUG
rnacentral:rRNA from 1 species